rnacentral:rRNA from 1 species
UACAGAGGUCUCAAGCGUUGUUCGGAUUUACUGGGCGUAAAGGGUGUGUAGGCGGUUCUUUAAGUUUGGGGUGAAAUCUCCCGGCUCAACCGGGAGGGUGCGCCGAAUACUGAGGGACUAGAGUGCGGGAGAGGAAAGUGGAAUUCCUGGUGUAGCGGUGAAAUGCGUAGAUAUCAGGAGGAACACCGGUGGUGUAGACGGCUUUCUGGACCGUAACUGACGCUGAGACACGAAAGCGUGGGUAGCAAACAGG